rnacentral:lncRNA from 1 species
UUUCUUCUGAGAUUUAAGUCUCGUGCUACUCGUUAAGAUAUUUCAAAUUCAAUUUGUUAUUGCCAACAUUUUUUAGAUUUGCUACUACCUUCAAUUCCUCAUAAGCCUGUCCUCUCACUCUAUUUAGGAACAAUCCCAGAUUUCUACCAAUUUGGAUAUCUAUAUUAUUUUAUUGAGCUGCAAGCAUUCGGUGAACUCUUGAAUUAUGAAACC